CUGAAUGGAUAUCCCAACCUUGUCAACUACACUAGAAAUCACGGUCGAGACGUCUUGAAUGUAGAACCACGAUUAAUGUCAGAGAUUUCAUCAUCAAGAUCGAGGGACAUAGGAAGGGUUGUUGACUACAACAGUGGUGGUGAUGAGAGAAGGUGGUGGCAACUCAUGGGGGAGCAAACAGCAAGAUGUGGCUAUUACAGUGGGGCAAAGAUCAUGUGAAAGUGAAUCAGGAACAAGGAUCAUGGGAAGACAAAUGUGUGAUUGGCAGCAUGACUUUCGGAAAGGGCCUUCAAAAUUGUUCAAAAAUUAUCAGUUGUGUUACUUCACCAAUUUUGAUGAAAAAGAGUUGAUUGGUCAUGGAGCUUUUGGAAAUGUUUAUAGAGGAUGUAUGUGGGGUUUAAAAAAUCCUAUAAUCAAUAGCAAGCUUGCCGUGAAAGUUUCACAUCACAAGGAUACAUGUUUUUCC